GCAACACCAAGAUGAUAAGGAUUUUUGCUGUGUAGGCGUUGCCAUCUCACACCUUCCAGUUUUCUUCCUGAGCAUGUCCUGGGGCAAGUGGCAGGAGGUGGCUUUUUGCAGCCCUCUUCUCUUAAUGAGGACAGUCAGUCCUAGCGUAGGGACGUGUGGAGGCAGAGAUGAGGGGCAGAUGAACAAGAAACUGUUUGGCCGAGGUCUUAGGAAAUUAUUUUUUCUGGAAUUAAUCCACUUGGAAUAUACACUCUAGCGAUUGUCUAUUUCUGGCUCCAGAAUUUUUCUUUGGGUGGCAGUCUUGGUUCGGACUCUUGAGUUUUUCCAACAGGAGAACUUGACAUUCACAUUCUAAGAGUGCUCUGUAAUGUUUCCAUUUACAUACCAGUUUCCCUCAUCUUGUGCCUGGAAGGGUAUGUGAAUAUAUGCAAGAAUCAGAGAUUCAUUUUUAGCUGCGGCAGAAGCGAGCCCCAGGGGAGAAGUCAAGAUAACUGGAUUCCUGAAAUGGUAACUUGGCAACUCAUCUCUUUCAGUUCCUUAGCCUGCAAAGCGUUUCUGUGGUUUGAGAAGCUAAGUAGCUCCUGCUUGUGAAGGUCAUCUUUAGAAGGAUGCUGUGCAGGUAUCAGGACCCCUUAUCAUCUUAACACCCUUUACCCCAGGCCGCAGGUCAUCAGUUGAGAAGCAUAUCAAAGCAAGAGGGGUGGGGAGUAUAUUUGAUGGGGCCCUAAAAUUGCUUGUGCCUUCCUGGUCCAAGGAAAAGAAGAAGGGACAUCCUGGGUGUUAAAAUGUAAGGAAAUCCUCCCAAGGUAGAGACCAGCAAGGGAGUUGGGAUUGGGGGGAGUGACAUUUGAGAGGCCUCUUAAACGUGGCUGAGGCCUGGCGAAGGAGGGCCGUUGGAGGGAGGAAUAGCUGAAAGGACUCGAGAGGUUCCGCAUGCGAUCAGGCGCGUGUCCCCGAGUGGAGCAGACUGGAUGAGGCAUCAGAGAGCCCUGGCUCAGGUAGGCUCCCGUUUCCAAGAUGCUCCCUGGCUGGCCCAUGAAACCAUACACACUCUGGGAAGACGGGGGAACCUGGGAUCUCCAGGCGAAGGGGUUAGUGCAUGGUUUUUUCAUUUCACGUGCAGACUAGAACUCAGAAGGUCCUGUUUCCCAAAGUACGAGCUGGCUGAGCUCUAAACGCAGGGCUACAGGGAGGCUUUCACCUCCAAAGACAGCAUUGCCCGGUGAGCAUUGGCAGGCAGGGCAUACCUGUCAGAGGGGCUCUGUAUCCUCUUAAAAUAUCCUUUUUAUUGCCAGUUGUUUCAGCCAGGGCUGUUUCUGUAGAAGCUGUUGAUGAAAAGAAGGGCAUUAUUCUGAGGAGGAAGUUCUGGGAACUAGGUUGAGGAACGGUGCUCUCGAAGCCAGAUCCUAGAACCAGGAAGGCUAGAAAUAGGUUAAAUAUCCCUGCUUUAUCAGAAAGAAAGCCCCAGAUGAAAAGUCUCAAGUAGCUUCCAGCUUGGUUAGGAGGUAAGCUUCCCGCGUUUGCAUGAAUUAGCUGGAGAGCCACUUAGUGCUGCUGGAGCCAACUUUAUGGCGGGAGGUCAGCAAAGAGAGGAGUUCACGGAGGGUGGACGGAGGGGGGCUGGCACUGGGCGGAAAGCCGCAACUGGGGCGCCUCUCUGCUGCCUGGUGCUUGAUUGACUGUGCACAGCAGUCUAGGGAGAGGGACCAGGGCCGGAGGAAAGUCACUGCAGAGACCGAGUAGCACCACUGUGAAGUUUGAAGGGGCACGUGUGAAGUUUUAGGGAAACACCAGAUCAAUGUAUCACGCCUGCCCCAGGUCCCUCCUAUGUGCUAGGCUGAGUGCAAAGGGCUAGGGGUACAAAGUUGACAAAACCAUACGUGGCCCUGUGCAAAAUAGCCCAGGAUGCUGGGUAGACCACAGUGUGACUUCAACCCUUGACAUAAUCUAGCUCUGGUAGCUCGCACACCAGCCUCAGGCGAUUGGCCUUCUUCCUAGUUUGCAGGAGAGAAACUCAGACUCUUUUUUUUUUUUCCCCACUGUACAGCAAGGGGGGGUCAGGUUAUCCUUACAUGUAUACAUUGCAAUUACAGUUUUUCCCCCACCCGUUCUUCUGUUGCAACAUGAGUAUCUAGACAUAGUUCUCGAUGCUAUUCAGCAGGAUCUCCUUGUAAAUCUAUUCUAGGUUGUCCAUCAGACUCUUUCCUCUGAGCUGGAAAAAUUAGCCUCACUAGGCCUCCUCUCAAAAUCAGCUGACCCCUUUCUCAAAGAUGGGUAGGUAGAUACUCAGGUAGAUGGUAGGAUAGGACGCUCAGCCGUACUCAUCAGAGUGAGUCAUCCACCCUCCUGCUAAUUUGAAGUGACUCACCAAGCCCGUCUCACCUAUUCCCCAACAUCCUAAAGGGGUCCUUCAGUCCCCCUCUGCUUCCGUCCACCUGGCCUGUGUUUUCCUGACCUCUGAGGGCUUAACGCAACCCAGCUUUGCUGGAUUAGAAUCAAGUGAUUCUGCCCAGCAGCCUCUCAUUUCCCUCAUGCCCCGCUCCUCCCUGUUUCUGCCUUGUGCCUCGGGGCCCGGUUGUCAGGAGGCCUGCCUUUCCCGGAGCGGCACCCCCCAGAGGCCCCCUCUGGGCUGGCCUUCGGGGAGAUCGCCCCUUUCUGCCUCCCUCGGCGCCCUUCCUCUGCUGUGCCAGCGUCAAAGGCGUGGGGGUCUGUGCUUGCUGUGCUGUUUCCUCACCAGGUCGGUAGAUCGGAUCCUGCUCAUGCAUUGGUGCCAGGGUUAUCAUUCCCCAAGGGCAUGAACUUUUGCUUCCGUGUGGGGUCAGAUCUGCACGUAAAUGUUGUGGUCGUUUGCUGUUUUGUGAUUUCAGGUCAUGGAGCCCAUUUUUAAGCUUGGUAGGUAGGAUGGAUGCUCCAGUUUGAUCACCCAUCUCAGUCCUGGUGUAAACAUGAGCAGGCAGGGGAGGGUGGCUGACCUGUACUGAGCACUUGCUGCGUAUUAGGCCGCGUCCUCAGUGCUCGGCGUGCUUUAUCUCACGGAAAUCCUUAGAGCAGCCUUCAUUUUCCAGAGGGGGAGACGCAGCAUGCAGUGGUGAGUAUCCUGCUGAAGCAGAAGCAAAACCUCAGGCGUUCUGGUCUCCAGACACCGUCCGUAUGGGAGAGAGUUAGCUGGCAUGACUUUCAGAUUGUGUGGAUGCUGGUGUUUUGUUUUGUUUUAUAAUAUGAAACUAAGUGAUGGGCUUAAACUAUGAAUGGAAAUAGAAUCUCAGAUACACAGUGAGAUAAACAUCAGCAGAAUGAAUGCCAGCCAGGUUUUUAGUUAAUUGAGAAUAACUCAGUCGUUUUGUAGCAGCUUUUGAUGAUGGUUCCCUUUUCACUCUUCUGUACCUUAGUUUAAAAACAAAAGCAGUUUUCACCAAAGCUCACGGUUAGUGUCGCAUGAGAGGUCGUGUUCCCUACGUUGGGCGUCCUGUUUUCAGGACCUGUUCAUGGGUAAAAAACAUCAUCAAGUUAUGGCAGAAACCAGAGGUAGCAAGCCUUCCACUGUGAGAUGCAUAAACAUUUCAUGUUUUUAAGAAAGUCUGGCUGUUGUCUAUGGAACACAGAAACUGAUCAUCAAUUUAUUGCAACUAAUUUUGAACGCCAGAGUGACACUGAUCGUGGCUGCCUUCCCAGAGCUUUCAGAAAAACACAACCAACCUGUUGUGUUUGUUUCAUUUGCCAAGGAUGUCGGGGUUGCAGUUGGCUGGGUAUUUCAGCUGCCACACACAUAAUGACUCUCUCUGUUUCAGU
rnacentral:lncRNA from 1 species